rnacentral:rRNA from 1 species
GAUGAACGCUAGCGGCAGGCUUAAUACAUGCAAGUCGUGGGGCAGCAGGACUGUAGCAAUACAGUUGCUGGCGACCGGCAAACGGGUGCGGAACACGUACGCAACUUACCCUGAACUGGGGGAUAGCCCGGGGAAACCCGGAUUAAUACCCCGUAAUAUAAUGGAGUGGCAUCACUUUAUUAUUAAAGCUCCGGCGGUUCGGGAUGGGCGUGCGGCUGAUUAGGUAGUUGGUUGAGGUAACGGCUCACCAAGCCUACGAUCAGUAACUGGUGUGAGAGCACGACCAGUCACACGGGCACUGAGACACGGGCCCGACUCCUACGGGAGGCAGCAGUAAGGAAUAUUGGGCAAUGGAGGCAACUCUGACCCAGCCAUGCCGCGUGGAGGAUGAAGGCCCUCUGGGUUGUAAACUUCUUUUAUAGGGGGACGAAACCUGUGUAUUCUUACGCAGUUGACGGUACCCUAGGAAUAAGCACCGGCUAACUCCGUG